UAUAGAGGGUGCGAGGAGAGUGGGCAUGAGGCUGCUCUUUGUUUUACAGAACCUUCCCAUUCCCUGUCUCAUUCCGCAGGGGUAAUAAUGAUAGCUAACAUUUGAGUAUUUUAUCGACAAAGCACCAUAAGAGCAUUUUUCAUGGGUCAGCUGUCUCAUUCACUCCUCACAACCCUUUAAAUAGAUGCUGUUAUUAACCUCAUUUUUGUAACAGAAAAUGAGGCUUAAGGGGCACGGGUGGGUACUGAAGCUAGACUUCUUUAAAACCUCUUCUUUGAGGUUUGCAAACGCUAAGGAGAGUUGAUCAUGGCAAUAGCAUCCGACGAGACAUCUCCUCGGAGUCUCGCCCCCACGUGGAGCUCCAAUGCAGCUCGCGGGCUGUUUCAGCUGAAACCUCUCUCUGUGGGCGCGCCAGAAAGACAGGCGCCAUCUCAGAGCUUCCUCCAGGACUCAGCAUCUGCUAGCCCCAAUAUGAACCACAGAACUCUGUCCUUAUAAAUCUCCAGGGUUCUGAAUUUUCCUACCACCGAAGAGGCUGCUUUAAGGGUUUUUGCAGUGCCAGGUGUGGAUUGAGAUUCAGCCUUUGUAAGACUUACUCACUGAAAACAGGAAUUUGCUUGGUUCCAAGCGCUAAGCAGAAACCCUGCCUGGCCCGAGUUUCCUCAUCUCCCUCAUCAACAUGUGAAAAAGGGACCAGUGAAAUCAUGAGUGCAGGACAACUUCAGGAAGUGCAAAGCCCUUGGUGCAAGAACAAAGUGUGCUUUGUACACUUGCUGGUGCCAUUUGUGGCUGAGAAGAACUUUCUCGGAUUGCUUUGGAAUGAUGAAGAGUGUGUCUCUCAUCCAAGAACUGAAAUGAUACCUUCAGGUGAGUCCAGAGUCCAAAUCCUCAAAGGAGGGAUUUAGGAAAGCAUUCGAGAGGAUCAGGUUUAAACCAAACAAUCCCUUAAGAAGAAAUUCCAUUCAAGUUCUUUCUUUAAAACAGGAAAUUAAACAGAGUCAUUAUAAGGCAAACUCAAGAGAGUGGUAGCACCAUCCCUCCCAACUGUUAGUUGCAUGAAUUUCAUUUUGGGUCAUCUGUGAAUCGAAACUAUUUAAAUUUGACCCUGUUAACCACAGCUCUUUUAAAGUACAACCAUCAGAAUUCUAGGCAAAAUGCAUCCUUUUAGAAGCAUAUAAUAUAUCUGAAGUACAAUUCUUUGCAUAAUUAUCAAGAUUUAAGUCUCCUGCAGUAUUAUUUUAAGUAUUUUAUUAAGUUCAUGGGCCUAUUCCCAAAACUCUUGUAGCAGUGGACAAGGGCAGAUUAUAGAACAUGAAUUCUU
rnacentral:lncRNA from 10 species